CUCCUCUCAGGAUCACACCUGGAGAGUUUCCAGUACUCUGCCAGUCUCGGCUACUGGAGGGAUUGUUAAGCAGAGGCAUACCCAUUCCAUUCCUAGCUUGGACAGUGGCUAGCCAGUGGAAGGCAAUCUGCUACAAGU